UAAAAAUUAGUUAAAUCAAUAUAUAACAUAAGAAUGUCAAUCUUAAAUUAUUAUCAAUUAAUAUUUUUAG
rnacentral:tRNA from 1 species